GGCAGAGGUGGGGGCUGGGCAGGGACCCAGCAUGAAUCAAUCAGGGGUUGGGGGGCUGGGGAGAAGCAGCAGCAGGGAGCGGUUUGUGCAGAUCUGUGGGAUUGGACCUCAUGGGGUCUCCCAGCCAGAGCUCCUGCCCCAGGGGCCCAAGUCACUUCAGGACAACUGAUGACACUGUCAUGGUCCCACACACACGCGGGGGCGGUGGAGGGGAUGGGUAGGGGGUGCAGAUUGAUGGAAAAACCAUGGUAUAACCUUAAAAAAAUCAUCAUUCGAUCAGUCUCACGAUUUUUUGAAACUCCUGAGCUUGGCAGCACUGGGGGAGGCAGGGACAGGGCAGGUUUGACCCGAGGGAAUUAGAAGAAGCAAGAAGGAAAAUGUGAAUGAAAAUAAAACAAGAAGAAAGGGAGAGUCCAGGAGAAAUGGUGGAAAAUAGAACUGAGAAGAGUGACAGGAAACUAUCCCUGACAGGGGAACCAGCCGGGGGCAGGAAGAGGGGAAGGGAUAAAAUUGGGGGUGGAGGGGGGUGGAAUGGAGCAGCCAUGGGGGCUGAUCUGUAACAGGGAGGGGAGGAGAGUGGGAGAAACACAGGAAAAUAAACAGGGAUCAGAAGUGAGGGUAAGAAUAAUGAACAGAAAAGGAGAGAAGGAAAGGGAAGAGAGAGAUUUAUGACAUGUGACUGAAAGUGAGACUGUAACUCAUUAAUUCCCUAUAUUAAUUCCUGGCCAUUGGUGCUAUUUUAGUGCCAUUAAGAAAACUGUUCUCGUAGCUGAGGAUCUCCUUGCCAUGCUGUGGUUAUUAAGGCUCCUUCUCAACUCUGUUUACUGACCACCUUUCGUUAUUUACUGUAAAAUAAAACAUUACAAACAA